GACGAAGUACUUCGGUAUGUAAAGUUCUUUUAUCAAGGAAGAAAAGCAAAUGGCGAACCAUUUGUUUGCCGGUACUUGAUGAAUAAGCCCCGGCUAAUUAUGUGCCAGCAGCCGCGGUAAGACAUAAGGGGCAAGUGUUAUCCGGAAUUAUUGGGCGUAAAGGGUGCGUAGGCGGUCUAGUAAGUCAGUGGUGUAAUGGCAACGCUUAACGUUGUCCGGCUAUUGAAACUGCUAAACUUGAGUUAGAUAGAGGCGAGUGGAAUUCCAUGUGUAGCGGUAAAAUGCGUAAAUAUAUGGAGGAACACCAGAGGCGUAGGCGGCUCGCUGGGUCUUAACUGACGCUGAGGCACGAAAGCGUGGGGAGCAAACAGGAUUAGAUACCCUGGUAGUCCACGCCGUAAACGAUGAGUACUAAGUGUCGGGUUAAACCGGUACUGAAGUUAACACAUUAAGUACUCCGCCUGAGUAGUACGUACGCAAGUAUGAAACUUAAAGGAAUUGACGGGACUCCGCACAAGCGGUGGAUCAUGUUGUUUAAUUCGAAGAUACCCGAAAAACCUUACCAGGUCUUGACAUGUUUUUGCAAAAUGAUAGUAAUAUCGUGGAGGUUACCAGAAACACAGGUGGUGCAUGGUUGUCGUCAGCUCGUGUCGUGAGAUGUUAGGUUAAGUCCUAAAACGAGCGAAACCCUUAUCGUUAGUUGCCAGCACGUUAUGGUGGGGACUUUAACGAGACUGCCAAUGAUAAAUUGGAGGAAGGUGAGGAUCACGUCAAAUCAGCAUGCCCCUUAUGACCUGGCUACAACGUGAUACAAUGGCUGUAAGCAUUAGGUAAAAAAAAAAA
rnacentral:rRNA from 1 species